rnacentral:tRNA from 1 species
CUUAAGAUAGCUUAGUGGUUAAGCGUAGGACUCAAGCUCCUUCUACGUUGGUUCAAUUCCAACUCUUAUGACCA